UGUGCCAGCAGCCGCGGUAAUACGGAGGGUGCAAGCGUUAAUCGGAAUUACUGGGCGUAAAGCGUGCGCAGGCGGUCCGCUAAGACAGAUGUGAAAUCCCCGGGCCUAACCUGGGAACUGCAUUGGUGACUGGCGGGCUAGAGUAUGGCAGAGGGGGGUAGAAUUCCACGUGUAGCAGUGAAAUGCGUAGAGAUGUGGAGGAAUACCGAUGGCGAAGGCAGCCCCCUGGGUCAAUACUGGCGCUCAUGCACGAAAGCAUGGGGAGCAAACAGGAUUA
rnacentral:rRNA from 1 species